rnacentral:rRNA from 1 species
GCCCUUACUGCUCAGUAACACGUGGUCAAUCUACCGUAAAGAGGAAGAUAACGAUGGGAAACUGUCGCUAAUAUUUCAUAUGCUAGGACAUCUGGAAGGAGUUCUAGUUCAAAGGGUUUCGAAUUGGAGAAUUACCGCUUUACGAUGAGACUGCGGCGGAUCAGGCUGUUGGCGGGGUAACGGCCCACCAAACCGAUAACCUGUAGGGGAUGUGAGAGCAUAGGCCCCGAGAAGGGCACUGAGACAAGGGCCCUAGCGCUACGGCGUGCAGCAGGCGCGCAAACUCCACAAUGCGCGGAAGCGUGAUGGGGGGAAUCUGAGCGGCUCACUUCGGUGAGCCUUUUGCCAAGUUUAGCAAGCUUGGCGAAUAAGUGCUGGGCAAGACCGGUGGCAGCCGCCACGGUAAUACCGGCAGCACAAGUGGUGUCCACGAUUAUUGGGCUUAAAGCGCUCGUAGCUGGCAGAUGCCGUCUCGUGUGAAAUAUUGGUGCUCAACACCAAUGCGGGCACGAGAUACCCAUUUGCUAGGGAGCGGGUGAGGUCAGGAGUACUUAUGGGGAAGGGGUAAAAUCCUAUAAUCCUGUAAGGACUAACGGUGGCGAAGGCGCCUGACUAGAACGCAUCCGACAGUGAGGAGCGAAGGCUAGGAGAACGAAUCGGAUUAGAUACCCGAGUAGCCCUAGCAGUAAAUUAUGCAGACUCUGAUGUUGCACAUAUCUUGAAUAUGUGCAGUACCGUAGCGCAAGUGUUAAGUCUGCCGCCUGGGGAGUACGGUCGCAAGAUUGAAACUUAAAGGAAUUGGCGGGGGAGCACAAGGGC